rnacentral:rRNA from 1 species
GACGAACGCUGGCGGCGUGCUUAACACAUGCAAGUCGAACGGAAAGGCCCUGCUUUUGUGGGGUGCUCGAGUGGCGAACGGGUGAGUAACACGUGAGUAACCUGCCCUUGACUUUGGGAUAUCUUCAGGAAACUGGGGCGAAUACCGGAUAGGAGCUCCUGCUGCAUGGUGGGGGUUGGAAAGUUUCGGCGGUUGGGGAUGGACUCGCGGCUUAUCAGCUUGUUGGUGGGGUAGUGGCUUACCAAGGCUUUGACGGGUAGCCGGCCUGAGAGGGUGACCGGCCACAUUGGGACUGAGAUACGGCCCAGACUCCUACGGGAGGCAGCAGUGGGGAAUAUUGCACAAUGGGCGGAAGCCUGAUGCAGCAACGCCGCGUGCGGGAUGACGGCCUUCGGGUUGUAAACCGCUUUCGCCUGUGACGAAGCGUGAGUGACGGUAAUGGGUAAAGAAGCACCGGCUAACUACGUG